AAACUUUGCAAUGUGCGAAAGCACGACAAGGUUAAUCCGAGUGGUUUCUGCUAAAGGAACCUUUUGACAGUCCUAGAAACACUGUUGAAUAAGGGGUGGGCAAGUUCUGGUGUCAGCCGCCGCGGUAAAACCAGCACCUCAAGUGGUCAGGAUGAUUAUUGGGCCUAAAGCAUCCGUAGCCGGCUCUGUAAGUUUUCGGUUAAAUCUGUACGCUUAACGUACAGGCUGCUGGGAAUACUGCAGGGCUAGGGAGUGGGAGAGGUAGACGGUACUCGGGAGGAAGUGGUAAAAUGCUUUGAUCUCUCGAUGACCACCUGUGGCGAAGGCGGUCUACCAGAACAUGUCCGACGGUGAGGGAUGAAAGCUGGGGGAGCAAACCGGAUUAGAUACCCGGGUAGUCCCAGCUGUAAACUAUGCAAACUCAGUGAUGCACUGGCUUGUGGCCAGUGCAGUGUUGCAGGGAAGCCGUUAAGUUUGCCGCCUGGGAAGUACGUACGCAAGUAUGAAACUUAAAGGAAUUGGCGGGGGAGCAC
rnacentral:rRNA from 1 species